CUUUGUCAAACUAUGAACUUAAAACAAGGCUGUAUGUAAGAUGAUCCUUGUCUACGUACUUAGAUGAACCAAAAACAAACAAAUUUAAUGUCAGAUUGACAACUGGAGAGAUCCAUCCGUUGUAUUACGAUUAUUUCGUCGUGAUUAUUAAAGAAAUCAUUGUAAAUAAGAAGAUUCUACCUAGUAAAAACAUAUAAAAGAUGACACAAGAUCGUGUUUAAUACGACUACAGAAUAGUGGGAAACAUAAUGGAAGGAAGACAAAAUAAGAUGCAACGUACGGGUUUUAGCUACAAUAAUUAGUAAGAUUGAAGACUUCUUGACGAUGUUUAUAAUGUAUCCUAUAAAAUAUUCACUCGCCAGAAUCGUCCAAAGAUCCAGGAGGGACAGAUAUCUACUCCAAACCUGGAAUCUGUUGCAGAAUAUUAAAGAAAAUUAUGGGAAAACAAAUUUGAAUGACGGACAGAUUUAGCAAGAUGAAAGAUUUAAGCCUACAAGCAUGCUACUGUUUCUCACAUCAAAGGUACAUUGUUAAUUAUGAACAUCAAUAGUAAAUAAAGCAG